rnacentral:rRNA from 1 species
AUACAGAGGGUGCGAGCGUUAAUCGGAUUUACUGGGCGUAAAGCGCGCGUAGGUGGCUAAUUAAGUCAAAUGUGAAAUCCCCGAGCUUAACUUGGGAAUUGCAUUCGAUACUGGUUGGCUAGAGUAUGGGAGAGGAUGGUAGAAUUCCAGGUGUAGCGGUGAAAUGCGUAGAGAUCUGGAGGAAUACCGAUGGCGAAGGCAGCCAUCUGGCCUAAUACUGACACUGAGGUGCGAAAGCAUGGGGAGCAAACAGGAUUAGAUACCCUGGUAGUCCAUGCCGUAAACGAUGUCUACUAGCCGUUGGGGGAUUUGAUCCUUUAGUGGCGCAGCUAACGCGAUAAGUAGACCGCCUGGGGAGUACGGUCGCAAGACUAAAACUCAAAUGAAUUGACGGGG